rnacentral:tRNA from 38 species
CAAGUCCCUCUAUCCCCA